rnacentral:sRNA from 1 species
AGAGAAUGGAUCUGCUCCGAGUGGGGACAUUGCUGACAAUCCCGGCUUCCAGAGGCGGCUAAGAACAGGCAGUUUGUGUCGGCUGGCUGCAGAUACCCAGAGGCACAAAGAGACCGAAACCACCCGGAGGGACCCACGGACGGACAGAUGGUAGGCGCGAACCCGAGAGGACCGGCGGAGGCUGAGCACCGAGAGCCGCCAAGGAAGAGAAACUAACUGCACACCCAAGUUACCCCGCCGGCUUUCCUUCGCUGCGCUAAGGAAUGAAACCUUUCCAGCUCGAUCUGCUCUUCGUCUGCUUCUUCCUUUUCAGUCAAGAGCUGGGCCUCCAGAAGAGAGGAUGCUGUCUGGUGCUGGGCUACAUGGCCAAGGACAAGUUUCGGAGAAUGAAUGAAGACGGAGACAGAGUUUUGCUCUUGUUGCCCAGGCUGGAAUGCAAUGGCGUGAUCUCGGCUCACUGCAAGCCCCGCCUCCCAGGUUCAAGCGAUUCUCCUGCCUCAGCCUCCUGAGUAGCUGGGACUACAGGCACCCACCACCUCAUUCGGCUGAUUUUUUGUAUGUUUAGUAGAGACGGGGUUUCGCCAUGUCGGGCAGGCUGGUCUCGAACUCCUGACCUCAGGUGAUCCACCUGCCUCAGCCUCUCAAAGUGCUGGGAUUACAGGCAUGCGACUAAUAUUCUUAAUGUAACCCUGUGGCUUAGGAGUAGGAGAAAUCUAGAUUCAAAUCCCAGGUGUAGUCAGGGCAGGCUUAGACCCCUAUCAUUACAGAUUCUCCAGGCCAGAAGGGACCAAAGGUCAUCUGGUUCCAUAUCCCUGUCAAGCACCAACGUGUGUAAAGACUGUGAACACAGCCGUAUGCUCAUUUAUUCACCAACCAUGUGUCCAGUGCCCGCUCUGUGCCUGGCGCUGUGCAUGUAAAAACACAGUCCCUGCCCCCAAGGAUACCACUGUCUUGAGGGGAAAGACAAACACGUCAGCAACUACAAUACAAUGUCGCAGUUGCGGUAACCGGGUAUGAAUAAGUAGCUAUGGAAACAGAGAAGGAGAAUCCAAUCACACUGUAGGCCAGGAGAGGAGUGUCCAGCAUGGCUUCUGGAGAAAUGAGCCCUGUGAGAUGUUUUAUUAUAAGAGGCUGUUGCAACCUAUGCUUGAAUCCCUCCAAAGACAAGAAACUAGCAGCCUGCCGAGGCGGUGGGCAGCUCCUCAGCCAGGCUCUCCAAACACCACACCCCUUCCACCCCAGGAGGCUGCAGUUUUCACAUUCUAGCUUUAUUGAUGACAAGGGGACCCAGUGACUUGGACAGCAGCCACUGGCAAGAUCCUGGGGUCUCCACUAUGUCAACUGCACCAAGGAUGCCUCCUUUCUUCUCUCUGCUUCUUUCUUCCAUCCCCAGCCAGCCUCAAAGGCUUCAUCACAGAAUUCUUUGAGUGCUGAGACCCUCCCCCAGCCCUCUCCCCAGGGUCUGAAGAAAGCCCCAGAGAAGUUGCAAUAAAUGAAGGUGCUUAAUG